rnacentral:rRNA from 1 species
AACGAACGCUAGCGGCAUGCCUAACACAUGCAAGUCGAACGAGACCUUCGGGUCUAUUGGCGCACGGGUGCGUAACGCGUGGGAACCUGCCCUUAGGUUCGCUAUAACUCCCCUAAAGGGGUGCUAAUACCGGAUAAACUCUUCAGACCAAAGAUUGAUCGCCUUUUGGUGUGCCCGCGCGGGGAUAGCUAGUUGGUAUGGGAAAAGCAUACCAAGGAGUCGAUCGAUCGCUGGCUUGAGAAGAGGAACAGCCACACUGGGACUGAGACACGGCGCAGACUCGUACGGGAGGCAGCAGUGGGGAAUCUUGGACAAUGGACGAAAGCGUGAUACAGCUAUGCUGCGUGAGUGAUGAAGGCCUUAGGGUUGUAAAGCUCUUUUAACCGGGAUGAUAAUGACAGUACCGGGAGAAUAAGCGCCGGCUAACUCCGUG